UCUGAGUACUAAGUUUCCCUCAAAC
rnacentral:piRNA from 1 species